GACGAACGCUGGCGGCGUGCUUAACACAUGCAAGUCGAACGGAAAGGCCCUGCUUUUGUGGGGUGCUCGAGUGGCGAACGGGUGAGUAACACGUGAGUAACCUGCCCUUGACUUUGGGAUAACUUCAGGAAACUGGGGCGAAUACCGGAUAGGAGCUCCUGCUGCAUGGUGGGGGUUGGAAAGUUUCGGCGGUUGGGGAUGGACUCGCGGCUUAUCAGCUUGUUGGGGAGGUAGUGGCUUACCAAGGCUUUGACGGGUAGCCGGCAUGAGAGGGUGACCGGCCACAUUGGGCCUGAGAUACGGCCCAGACUCCUACGGGAGGCAGCAGUGGGGAAUAUUGCACAAUGGGCGGAAGCCUGAUGCAGCAACGCCGCGUGCGGGAUGACGGCCUUCGGGUUGUAAACCGCUUUCGCCUGUGACGAAGCGUGAGUGACGGUAAUGGGUAAAGAAGCACCGGCUAACUACGUG
rnacentral:rRNA from 1 species